rnacentral:rRNA from 1 species
AUUUCGUUUGAUUUGAUUUGUCCUCGUCCUCUGCACAUGAUAGUAACUUGGAUUUUGCUUGGGCAGGUGCCUUUCUCUCUUGAGGACCCGGAUUACAAGGGUCUUGAGCUAGAUCUGAUAGUGUUGUGCGAGAAGCAUGGGAAGCCAUCAGAGAGGCUUGUUGCGUUUGAAGGAACAAUGACUGGGAGAAGGUUCUUAGCAUGUGCAGAACCGGAAGGUCAGAAUUGUGGGUUUGUUCAGUGGGUUGAUGAGCAGUGGCCCCCAACAAUGGAGAAUGCAUUGCUGAAGCUUUGGUCAAUGGUUGAAGAGAGCAAGUCUGCUAGGGUGAAUGAUAAUCUUCAAAGUGCUCUAACUAUUCAUCAGUUGACAGAAGAAAAGAACAAGUUGGAUGCAGACUAUGACAAGUUAGUGAAAGAUGUGCAUCAACUUGUGGACUUUCAGCAGGAUAGGGUUGUGGAUUUCAGUUAUCUGCAAUCUGCUGUCACAUAUCAGCACCAAUGCAGAGCUGAAUUGGUGGCUGGUAUGAAUGCAGAAAUGGCAAAGAAAGAUGCAGCUGCACAGAAGCUUCAACAAAAGUAUGAACUCCUGUGCAACCUGACUAGUGCUCAAGCAACUGUCAUCCAAAACUUGAAGUUGAAGAAUAUGAAAGAGAAGGAAUUGUUGAGUGAGGGUAGGAUGAAUUUGGAGUUGAAGAAUGCAGAGUUCACAAAGUUUGAGGAGAAGCUCACCCAAGAGAAGCUAGAGUUGAAGCUCCAGGUUGCUGAUCUGCUGAAGCUCAAGGAAAACCAUAAUGAAGAGAAGCAGAUGCAAGAGUUUAAGAUUACUGAGCUCAUCAAGGCAGAGGAGAAGCUGAAGGAGAAGAUCAAGGGGAUCCAGGCCAUCUUGCAGAACUGA